rnacentral:rRNA from 1 species
CCUAGUAACGGCGAGUGAAGCGGCAAAAGCUCAAAUUUGAAAUCUGGCCCUAGCGGUCCGAGUUGUAAUUUGCAGAGGAUGCUUUUGGUGCGGUGCCUUCCGAGUUCCCUGGAACGGGACGCCAUAGAGGGUGAGAGCCCCGUACGGUUGGAUACCUAGCCUCUAUAUAGCUCCUUCGACGAGUCGAGUAGUUUGGGAAUGCUGCUCUAAAUGGGAGGUAAAUUUCUUCUAAAGCUAAAUACCGGCCAGAGACCGAUAGCGCACAAGUAGAGUGAUCGAAAGAUGAAAAGCACUUUGAAAAGAGGGUUAAAUAGCACGUGAAAUUGUUGAAAGGGAAGCGUUUGCGACCAGACCUUCUCCAGGGGGAUCAACCGCUGUUCUCAGCGGUGCACUCCCCCUGGUUUAGGCCAGCAUCGGUUCUCUUAGGGGGAUAAAGGCCUGGGGAACGUAGCUCUUUAGGGAGUGUUAUAGCCCCUAGCGUAAUACCCUUCAGGGGACCGAGGACCGCGCUUCGGCAAGGAUGCUGGCGUAAUGGUCGUCAACGACCCGUCUUGAAACACGGACCAAGGAGUCGAACAUUUGUGCGAGUGUUUGGGUGUUAAACCCUCACGCGUAAUGAAAGUGAACGGAGGUGAGAGCCUUAGGGUGCAUCAUCGACCGAUCCUGAUGUCUUCGGAUGGAUUUGAGUAAGAGCAUAACUGUUCGGACCCGAAAGAUGGUGAACUAUGCGUGGAUAGGGUGAAGCCAGAGGAAACUCUGGUGGAGGCUCGCAGCGGUUCUGACGUGCAAAUCGAUCGUCAAAUCUGCGCAUGGGGGCGAAAGACUUAUCGAACCAUCUAGUAGCUGGUUACCGCCGAAGUUUCCCUCAGGAUAGCAGUGUUGUCUUCAGUUUUAUGAGGUAAAGCGAAUGAUUAGGGACUCGGGGGCGCUAUAUUGCCUUCAUCCAUUCUCAAACUUUAAAUAUGUAAGAAGCCCUUGUUACUUAGUUGAACGUGGGCAUUCGAAUGUACCAACACUAGUGGGCCAUUUUUGGUA